GACGAACGCUGGCGGCGUGCUUAACACAUGCAAGUCGAACGAAGUGGCGCACGGGUGUUUAACUCGUAAUCAACCUGCCCUUCAGCUGCGGACAACAGGUGGAAACGACUGCUAAUACCGCAUACUUACGUAGGGCCUUUCGUCUGAUUAGUUAGUUGGAGGGGUAACGGCCCACCAAGGCGAUGAUAAGUAGCCGGUCGAAGAGGAUGAAAGGCAACAGUGGGACUGGGACACGGCCCAGACUCCUAAGGGAGGCAGCAGUGGGGAAUAUUCCGCAAUGGAAGAAAGUCUGACGGAGCAACGCCGCGUGAGUGAUGACGGCCUUCGGGUUGUAAAGCUCUGUUAAUCGGGACGCGGUACCGGAAUAGAAAGCCACGGCUAACUACGUGCCAGCAGCCGCGGUAAUUC
rnacentral:rRNA from 1 species